rnacentral:rRNA from 1 species
UCGGCAAUGGGCGAAAGCCUGACCGAGCGACGCCGCGUGUGCGAUGAAGGCCUUUUGGUUGUAAAGCACUGUCGAAGGGGAGCAAGCCGCAAGGUUGGGAGUACCCUUGGAGGAAGCACGGGCUAAGUUCGUGCCAGCAGCCGCGGUAAGACGAACCGUGCGAACGUUAUUCGGAAUCACUGGGCUUAAAGGGUGCGUAGGCGGGUGGACAAGUCGAGGGUGAAAGCCUCUAGCUUAACUAGAGAAGUGCCCUCGAUACUGUUUGUCUUGAGAGAGAUAGGGGCACACGGAACUUCCGGUGGAGCGGUGAAAUGCGUUGAGAUCGGAAGGAACGCCCGCGGCGAAAGCGAGUCUCUGGACCCAAACUGACGCUGAGACGCGAAAGCCAGGGGAGCAAACGGGAUUAGAUACCCCGGUAGUCCUGGCUGUAAACAUUGGGCACUAGAUUGUGGACUUUCAUGGGUUCACAGUCGAAGCAAAAGUGUUAAGUACCCCGCCUGGGGAGUAUGGUCGCAAGGCUGAAACUCAAAGGA